AUGAGUUGCGUAAAUGUACCAGUUGGAAGUGAACUCUCUUCCUUUUUCCCGGCUCAAAAACGUGGCAUUGCUAUGACAGAGAAACAGGAGUAUUUGAGAGUGCAAACAAAGGGAGUUGUUGUGGAGCCAUUAAAUUUUCCAGCAACAAAAUCAGUUCUGUGGAACAGAACCCCUCAAGGUGAUCCUGAAAUCCUACAUUUGACAAGAAAAAGG